ACCGUCACCUAGAAGAAUUUUCUGUUCCAACUUGCCCUGGAAUUUGUUUUCCACCAACAAUUAAACACAUGUGUCCAUUAGUAUACGACAAUGCAGGAUGCCCAAUGGCUAAGCUUUGCUGCGUGUUUUCAAUGCGUGUUGAAUUAAAUUCGCCAAACCCAACUGAGUCCACUCCUCUAACGGACUUCCAGUUUACCGUGAAAAACCCGGAAGAUACUACUAUAAAAGAUAUAGAAACGUCUAGUGAGGAUGAUAUAAUAAUAACAACAACAAAUAUACCAUCUACAAAAUACGAAACGAUCGAAGCGUUGGAAUUAGAAAAAAC